rnacentral:misc_RNA from 1 species
AUUAGGGUUAGGGUUCUAGUUCUGCCGGCGGCGGCGUGAUCGGAGAUCGGGUGCGAUGGCCAUGGAGGAGCCGAAGACCGUCAUCCCGGAGUCCGUGAUCAAGAAGCAGAAGAGAGCGGAGCAAUGGGCCCUCGUCAAGCAGGAGGAGCUCGCCGAGAAGAAGAAGAAGAGCAGCGAGAAUCGCAAGGUUAUCUUCAGCCGCGCUCAGCAAUAUGCGAAGGAAUAUGAAUCUCAGGAGAAGGAACUCGUGCAGCUUAAGCGAGAGGCUAGGUUGAAGGGCGGAUUCUAUGUCAGCCCGGAAGCCAAGUUGCUGUUCAUCAUCAGAAUUCGAGGUAUCAAUGCGAUGCACCCGAAAACACGAAAGAUUCUUCAGCUCUUGCGCUUAAGACAGAUUUUCAAUGGCGUGUUCCUGAAAGUUAACAAGGCGACUGUGAACAUGCUUCAACGUGUCGAGCCAUAUGUGACUUAUGGGUAUCCCAAUUUGAAGAGUGUUAGGGAGUUGAUUUACAAGAGGGGUUAUGGGAAGUUGAACGCACAGAGGAUUCCGUUGACUGAUAACUCUAUUAUCGAGCAGGGGCUUGGAAAGCAUGAUAUCCUGUGCAUUGAGGAUCUUGUUCAUGAGAUCAUGACAGUUGGGCCGCACUUUAAGGAGGCAAACAACUUCUUAUGGCCCUUCAAGCUUAAGGCGCCACUUGGUGGAAUGAAGAAGAAGCGGAACCAUUAUGUUGAAGGAGGGGAUGCCGGAAACCGCGAGGACUACAUCAAUGAGCUCAUCAGGAGGAU